UACGUAGGGGGCGAGCGUUACCCGGAAUCACUGGGCGUAAAGGGAGCGUAGGUGGCCUAACAUGUCAACUGUGAAAACCCGGAGCUCAACUCCGGACUUGCAGUUGAAACUGGUAGGCUUGAGGACGGUAGAGGAAGACGGAACUGCCAGUGUAGGGGUAAAAUCCUUAGAUAUUGGCAGGAACGCCGGUGACGAAGGUGGUUUUCUGGGCUGAUGCUCGAAAGCCAGGGGAGCGAACGGG
rnacentral:rRNA from 1 species